CAUAACGAUCCUCUCACGUUGAAAGCACCGGUUCUCGCCCGACCAACGAAGUUAAGCAACUUCGAGUCUAGUUAGCACUUUGAUGGGUGAUCGCAUAGUGAACCUCUCACUUUUGGGG
rnacentral:rRNA from 1 species